rnacentral:rRNA from 1 species
UCCCAAACCCCUGUGAACAUACCAAUUGUUGCCUCGGCGGAUCAGCCCGCUCCCGGUAAAACGGGACGGCCCGCCAGAGGACCCCCAAACUCUGUUUCUAUAUGUAACUUCUGAGUAAAACCAUAAAUAAAUCAAAACUUUCAACAACGGAUCUCUUGGUUCUGGCAUCGAUGAAGAACGCAGCAAAAUGCGAUAAGUAAUGUGAAUUGCAGAAUUCAGUGAAUCAUCGAAUCUUUGAACGCACAUUGCGCCCGCCAGUAUUCUGGCGGGCAUGCCUGUUCGAGCGUCAUUUCAACCCUCAAGCCCAGCUUGGUGUUGGGACUCGCGAGUCAAAUCGCGUUCCCCAAAUCGAUUGGCGGUCACGUCGAGCUUCCAUAGCGUAGUAGUAAAACCCUCGUUACUGGUAAUCGUCGCGGCCACGCCGUUAAACCCCAACUUCUGAAUGUUGACCUCGGAUCAGGUAGGAAUACCCGCUGAACUUAAGCAUAUCAA